rnacentral:rRNA from 1 species
CGAUGAAGAACGACAGCGAAAUAGCGAUAAGUAAUGUGAAUUGCAGAAUUCAGUGAAUCAUCGAAUCUUUGAACGCACAUUGCGCCCCUUGGUAUUCCGGGGGGGCAUGCCUGUUCGAGCGUCAUUACACCCCUCAAGCCUAGCUUGGUGUUGGGCCCCGCUGCUCACGUAGCGGGCCUUAAAAUCAGUGGCGGUGCCGUCGGGCCCUGAGCGUAGUAAAUAUCCUCGCUACAGGGGACCCGGUGGACGCUGGCCAUCAACCUCACUUUUCAAGUUUGACCUCGGAUCAGGUAGGGAUACCCGCUGAACUUAA